rnacentral:tRNA from 1 species
UCCCUCAUAGCUCAGUUGGUAAAGAAUCUGCCUGCAAUGCAGCAGACCUGGGUUCGAUUCCUGGGUCGGGAA